AAAGUCUGUUGGGCAGAUAAAUCUUUGCAGAGAAAACAGAUUUGUUUCCAAAUCAGUCAACUGUACUGAACUGGAAAGGAAGAAAUGUUAUUUUUUCCAGGAUGAAAGCAAAACAAGAUCUCUCCCUGUUUACCCUGUCUCACCCAUUUCUAAAGAAGACUUGCCUUCGCCCUGUGUGUUGUGCCACACGGAAAUACAAACACUUGCAAGGAACACUUUUAAAUACCGAUGCCUGGCACUGAAUUCACGUGGAAGGAAUGGCAGCAGAACUGCAAGGCAAGCUUGCUGAGGAUGUCUUAAGGCUGACACCAGUGACUCCUAGGCAUCACAGCUGAAAGGAUCUCUUUAUCAGCCCAUUCCCGCUUGCUUCUGAAGGCUGUCGGUGUCCUUUCAUUGGGGACUGACCUGUCCCAAAGCAUCUGAAAGCAAGGACUCCGGGGUACCUGUCCACUGCUGAGUACUGAUGGGUUUUCCUGUUUUCACUUCUCCUGCUGGUUUAAAAAUCAUAUUUCUAAAUCCACCGGUGGAAUUUUUUUUCUCUCCUAUUCCUCUAUCAAAAAGCUAUACACACACACACACACACACACACACACACAAAAUAAACAAAAACAAAACAAACCCAAGAAAGAUCCCUGAUACAUAGACAGGGAAGUAAUGAAAUUUUUUUUAAAAAAAAGAAAAGACAGCAAUCAGUUCACUUCAAUAAGAAAUUACAGAAGAUUUGGGCAAUAUUUUACAAGGCCUUUUCCAUAUGAGCUGGUGGUCAGGGACAGAAUGGUAUCAAUUGCACUAAAAGCAAACAAAAAAAAACACAGAGAAAUAUUUUUUCUUUACUCUGACAGCUGUAAUAAUCUUAGGUGGUCCUAUGGCAUUAUAAAAAUAUAAUUGAUUUGGGUGUUACUUGUAACAACAUGAAGUGAAAAAAAAUCCCGAAGUGUGAUAUUUAAGUUGACAGUGUCACUUUAAAGCAAAUCCACUGUGGAUGAUUUUUGCUUUGUGAGUUUCCUUUUACAAACAGACCUUGCCAAGAGCCAGAGUAAACACUAGGUUAAUCUUAGAUCAGCCUUUAAUUUCUCCUCCUUCCUUUCCCUUCCUCUUUCCUUUCUAUUUCCU